rnacentral:tRNA from 1 species
GGAUGUGGCUCAGUGUAGAGCACUUGCCUAGCAUGUGUGAGGCACUGGGUUCGAUUCCCGACACCA